AGGCGGAGAUGAUCAGUCUUUCUCCUGGUAUUUACUUCUUUUGUUUAAAUCUUGGAUUACCACAAUGAAUAUCAGGUUAUUCUUGAUAUUUCUGGUAAUGAUGUGCGCCAUGUACCAAGGGCCUGUUGUAUAUCGGGACCUUACGUGCGUGGAGCCUGAGCCAGGAUAUGCCAAACGAUUGUUUUAUUAUUUCACCGCAAGUGAAAUUGAGACAGUCUGUCCAACGGUUACCGAUCUGACAUGGCGAAUCGGAAAUGAGGUAUUCUGCAAUCUGCUGUGUGUGUGCUUCUUACCCUGCUGUUAGGCUAUGCGCCGUCGGUCGGGAAAAUCGUCAAAGAGAAAUGGUCAGCCGCCGUGUCAAUGUUCCAAGGAUGGAGAGCUCGUCCUUCCCCCUGCCGUCACUGCGGUACUGCCCCGUGUCAGGUCAAAAGGAGAUCCUUGUGGAAGCCCACUGGUACUCGUAAGAAAGACAAGGCGAAUUUCGCAAAGAGAUCAAACGCCAUCAUGCUAUUUUACUAUGGACUAGAGUUGUCAGUGGUACUGACCAAAGAGCUGCCAUGGAAUGACCUGUACUGGGAAAGGAAGUUCGUCCAGCAUUUUGAGGAGGAGCAUAUGGUAUUGUUCCCAGUAUGCAUCCAGCGUCAGAUCAACUACUGGUACCCUGUCCCUCGUUAGAUUCGUUGCGCCGUUCUAAAAGGAGAAUAUUUACAUUUGCAUGGCAUUGUCACUAUAUAGCCUCUAUGAAAGCUGUGUCGUUGA